rnacentral:rRNA from 1 species
GCGACCGACCGGGUUAAAAAUGGCAAGUCGAACGGCAGGGCGGAACUUCUCCCUGGUGGGAGUGGCGAACGGGUGCCUUUUGAAAUAAAAACGUGCCCAGUAGCGGGGGAUAACUACGCGACCAGCGUAGCUAAUACCGCAUACGCCCUACGGGGGAAAGCAGGGGAUCUUCGGACCUUGCACUAUUGGAGCGGCCGAUAUCGGAUUAGCUAGUUGGUGGGGUAACGGCCUACCAAGGCGACGAUCCGUAGGUGGUUUGAGAGGACGACCAGCCACACUGGGACUGAGACACGGCCCAGACUCCUACGGGAGGCAGCAGUGGGGAAUUUUGGACAAUGGGGGAAACCCUGAUCCAGCCAUCCCGCGUGUGCGAUGAAGGCCUUCGGGUUGUAAAGCACUUUUGGCAGGAAAGAAACGUCGCGGGUUAAUACCUCGGGAAACUGACGGUACCUGCAGAAUAAGCACCGGCUAACUACGUGCCAGCAGCCGCGGUAAUACGUAGGGGGCAAGCGUUAAUCGGAAUUACUGGGGCGUAAAAGCGUGCGCAGGCGGGUUCGGAAAGAAAGAUGUGGAAAUCCCCAGAGCUUAAACUUUGGGAACUGGCAUUUUUUUAAC